UAGGGAAUCUUCGGCAAUGGACGGAAGUCUGACCGAGCAACGCCGCGUGAGUGAAGAAGGUUUUCGGAUCGUAAAGCUCUGUUGUAAGAGAAGAACGAGUGUGAGAGUGGAAAGUUCACACUGUGACGGUAUCUUACCAGAAAGGGACGGCUAACUACGUGCCAGCAGCCGCGGUAAUACGUAGGUCCCGAGCGUUGUCCGGAUUUAUUGGGCGUAAAGCGAGCGCAGGCGGUUAGAUAAGUCUGAAGUUAAAGGCUGUGGCUUAACCAUAGUAGGCUUUGGAAACUGUUUAACUUGAGUGCAAGAGGGGAGAGUGGAAUUCCAUGUGUAGCGGUGAAAUGCGUAGAUAUAUGGAGGAACACCGGUGGCGAAAGCGGCUCUCUGGCUUGUAACUGACGCUGAGGCUCGAAAGCGUGGGGAGCAAACAGGAUUAGAUACCCUGGUAGUCCACGCUGUAAACGAUGAGUGCUAGGUGUUAGACCCUUUCCGGGGUUUAGUGCCGUAGCUAACGCAUUAAGCACUCCGCCUGGGGAGUACGACCGCAAGGU
rnacentral:rRNA from 1 species